rnacentral:piRNA from 1 species
GAGUCUGUCAGGUCCAGUUGGUAGACUA